UGGAAACAGCUCUGCGCGAGAAAGACUUU
rnacentral:piRNA from 1 species